rnacentral:lncRNA from 1 species
UCUAGGGAGAGGCUUUCUAGGGAGCAGUUUGGGAAUAAAGAUUCCUAUUCGACUGUAAUAAAAAUCAUAUCAAUACGUUCAAGUAUGGGGUCAAGCCACUCAUUACUCUACAUGUGCAAGCGACCUUGCAGGUGAAUCUCCUUCAAUUCUAGCUCAUUCGGAAACAAUCAAAAUCCCCCACAUAAAAACCAAGACCCCAAUAUUUACUAGAAAAUGUUGCAAAACUCCUGCAGGAAAGACCAACAUGCGUACAACAUCUCGACAUGCAUGACCAUUAAGACCAUGAACAUUCCACACUAGAAUUUGUUCAGCCAUAAAAAUAAAAUAAACACGACCGCC